CUUGUCCUAAUAUGUAAGUUGCUUUGGAUAAAAGCGUCUGCUAAAUGACUAAAU
rfam:Danio rerio chromosome 1, GRCz11 reference primary assembly.